AACAAGACUUCUGACAUCUUUGA
rnacentral:snRNA from 1 species